GCGGCAGUCCAUAAAGACCUGGCAGGAGGGAAGAGCAGGUUGCCAUGGAAUGAAGGAACUACGAUGGGGAUCGAGACCAAGAGCAGUGAUUAUGAAUGGCAAGUGGCAAGAAACGGGGUGGAGAAAAACAUCACCAGUGAAGACGGAAAUGUGUCUGAGAGGAUGAGGCCCAGAUCCCCUAGGUCCUGGCCUGGCUGACCAGCCCAGUAGCAUCUCUCUCAAUUGGAUGGUGAUCCCCAAAAAGAUAUGUCCACACCUAACAACCGGACCCUCUGAAUGUGACCUCAUUUGGAAAAAGGGUCUUUGCAGAUGCCAUUAAGUUAAAGAUCUUGUGAUGAGGAGAUCAUCCUAGAUUACCCAGGCCUAUCAGCAUCUCCUUGGACACUCCACAUCCCAUGAACCACAUCCAAAAGCGAUGGUCCUUGGUGUGCCACUUCCUGUUGAAGCUGCCUGUCUACCAGAAUUAGCAGACUCUGUGAAGGAGCUGAACAAACAGAAAAUCACUCUGCAAGACUCAUAGGAAUGACUCCUUAGGAGUCAUUCUCUCUGAUAGACGGCAACAAAAACAAAGGUGAUAUUGCCUCAUCAUCUUUCUUAAAGGUGAAGGAUCGCGGUGUCACCUUUAGGAUCCC
rnacentral:lncRNA from 1 species